AAGCUGUCUUAUUUUUUUCUGUUAUAAUUUACUUUAAGAAGUGAAAAAUCUUCUAUUUUUUACAAAAGACGAGAAGACCCUAUAAAUUUUAAUAAACGAGAAAAUAGUUAUUUUCUUUACCUUUUUGUUGGGGCAACAGAUUACCAAAUUAUUCAAAUGAAAGUAAUUAAUAUAAAAUGAUAGUUUUAACGAGUUUUAUUAAUAAUAAGUAAAUUACUUUAGGGAUAACAGCAUAAUUAUUUAUAAAUAGUUUGUGACCUCGAUGUUGGAUUAG
rnacentral:rRNA from 1 species